rnacentral:rRNA from 1 species
CCUACGGGAGGCUGCAGUGGGGAAUAUUGGACAAUGGGGGGAACCCUGAUCCAGCCAUGCCGCGUGUGUGAAGAAGGCCCUCGGGUUGUAAAGCACUUUCAGUGAGGAAGAACGCCUGGUGGUUAAUACCCAUCAGGAAAGACAUCACUCACAGAAGUAGCACCGGCUAACUCCGUGCCAGCAGCCGCGGUAAUACGGAGGGUGCGAGCGUUAAUCGGAAUUACUGGGCGUAAAGCGCGCGUAGGUGGCUUGAUAAGCCGGUUGUGAAAGCCCCGGGCUCAACCUGGGAACGGCAUCCGGAACUGUCAAGCUAGAGUGCAGGAGAGGAAGGUAGAAUUCCCGGUGUAGCGGUGAAAUGCGUAGAGAUCGGGAGGAAUACCAGUGGCGAAGGCGGCCUUCUGGACUGACACUGACACUGAGGUGCGAAAGCGUGGGUAGCAAACAGGAUUAGAUACCCCGGUAGUC